UCGGGAAUAUUGCGCAAUGGAGGAAACUCUGACGCAGUGACGCCGCGUAUAGGAAGAAGGUUUUCGGAUUGUAAACUAUUGUCGUUAGGGAAGAUACAAGACAGUACCUAAGGAGGAAGCUCCGGCUAACUACGUGCCAGCAGCCGCGGUAAUACGUAGGGAGCAAGCGUUAUCCGGAUUUAUUGGGUGUAAAGGGUGCGUAGACGGAUAAACAAGUUAGUUGUGAAAUACCUCGGCUUAACUGAGGAACUGCAACUAAAACUAUAUAUCUUGAGUACUGGAGGGGAAAGCGGAAUUCCUAGUGUAGCGGUGAAAUGCGUAGAUAUUAGGAAGAACACCGGUGGCGAAGGCGGCUUUCUGGACAGCAACUGACGUUGAGGCACGAAAGUGUGGGGAGCAAAC
rnacentral:rRNA from 1 species